GGGUAUUGUUCGGUUUUGCUGUGAGGAGGAAGAGGACCUGCGUUUUGGAUAACUGUGUUUUGAGCCAAGGAGAAGUGAGGGACUUGGGUAUAGGGUUGUGAUCGAUACUUAGUUUUUGGGACGUGUUAGUGCAAUAAUGUUUGCGAGAAGAGGUCCAAGAGGCUGUGCUUAUGCAGAUCCAGAAUGACACCUUAUUAGUCCAAAGGAAUAUCAAAGUUGGCAAUUCGUAAAAGGGCUCAACUCGUACUAACAUGUGAGACAUAUUCUGGGUUGAGAAAUUCUGGGAAAAAUUUCAGUACAAGGUGCUACUAAUAAGCCUCAGGAAUUAGAUG